UCGCACAUCUGGUGUGAGACUUAUGCGGAUAAAACCGCGUAGCCAGGAGAACUGGCAUUGGACUCCUUUAAAGGAGAAAACAAAUG
ncrna:unclassified sequences freshwater-2 RNA